GUCACUGAACGCGACACCCUCAUACAAGGGCAACACCAAGGCUAGGAUGAAGAGCUGUAACGCAUUUUCUUUAGUAAUCUGGCAUCAUUUAUGAAUAUCAUAUUCAGUAAUUCUACUUGGAUAGUCUGAAUUUAUAUAUGUAUUUAUAUUCAGCUCACCUUAUAGCUUCGUGUAACCCAGUUUAUAUAUGCCUAUGUAUGACCAGGGAAAAUCGUCAUUAUUACCUUUGAUAUUGGACCUCAUGGAGUAGCAUUGAUGGUACGUCAGGAUACUCCUUUUCAGGCCAUCCACCUGCAGGCGACACUGCAGAUAAAGGCCGUGAGGAUUGGCGUGAUACGACCUUACACUGUUACAUCCAUCUAAAUUCCUCCAAAUAUUCUCAACAUAGAAGAUUUGGAAGAUCUACCUGGGCAGUUCCCUCAUCCAUUUCUUCUCGGGAGAUUUCAAUGGCCGGCAUCACCUCUGGGGAGACUGUAUAUAUUUAUACCUAACCCCUGUAUAUGUCUACCUUCCCAUUUGUUUAUCUAUUAUAUAAUAACGCUAUCAGCUAUCUAUCUAUCUAAUCUAUCUAUCUACUUAUCUGUCUAUCUCUCUCUCUAUUUAUCUAUCUUUCUAUCUAUCCAUCUAUCUCUCUAUUCAGGUAGGUGGACAUGGGGACGCUCCUCUCGCCACGGUCCCACACUCCUGAUCUCCGUUGGAUUAAUUAACAGCAUUAACAUUUAAUUAACAUUAACAUUUACGCUUUGAAAGAGACUGACCGAAAACAUCAACACUUAAGGGGCAAGACUCACACAGGUCGCGUCUCGGCGAGGGGCAUGUUGGAGAGCGACGUCAUCCAGGUCUCCCUCGCCAGGUGGACCUCGAAGGUCGCCUUCAGGGCCGGCUCGUCGAAGCACGGGAAGGCGCGGCGGGCGUGCGUGGGCGGGAACUCGGUGCCAGACGCCUAGAACGGCUAUUUUUUCCUUUGUUGUUUACAGGGACUCAAUUGCAAUUUAAGCUUUUCCAAGAACAAGGAAUAGUCACCUUUUGCUUCCGUCAGCGUCGGGAUUGGUCGACCUACAGAACCCACGCAGCUGGUCACCGAGGAACUCCACAGGGAAGAGGUACGUUCUGCCCUUCUGCAGGAGCUCGUUGAGGUGUACGAUGCAGAACUGACGCGCUUGGUCGUACUGCUGGGACCUGAUCUUCACUUUUUGGUGUCUGCUUCGUCUAGAGCCAAUGGCUUACAGGAGGGUUGUUGUAGGCAUUAUCCUUAUCUACCCAAACACCCCAGAAAGAUAGAUUCUACUUCAUGUCUGUGAGAUAUCACUGGUGAAUCUAUAUCUAUAUUUGUUACUCCCUAACACUCCCCUUUCGUGAGAUAUUAAUAGUGAUUCUAUGUGAAACCUCCCUUCAUACUCCAUAAGAAACCGAAAUAUAAUCGGUCAACCAAUUUGAAA